rnacentral:rRNA from 1 species
UACAGAGGCCACAAGCGUUAGGCGGAAUCACUGGGCUUAAAGCGUGUGUAGGCGGGUUGGUAAGUACUUUGUGAAAUCCCACGGCUUAACCGUGGAAUUGCUUGGUAUACUGCCGAUCUUGAGUCAUCUAGAGGUAACCGGAACAGAUGGUGGAGCGGUGAAAUGCAUAGAUAUCAUCUGGAACGCCAAUGGUGCAGACAGGUUACUGGGGAUGUACUGACGCUGAGGCACGAAAGCGUGGGGAGCAAACAGG